CGACGCUUAAUAUGUUCCAUGUUUACAGUGCUACUCAUACCAGGAAUUUGGUAAAUGUCUUUGGCAUAGUUGAACAGGUUUGGGUACUCUCUUAGCAGCUUUUUGUUGCACUUGAAACUGCGUAAACCUCAUCAAAUCUUAUGAGGGAAACAAACAACCGAAUAUCUGCUUCGGACAGAGUGUUUCCACAUAUAUAGCGUCGCUUUCCAAGUAUUCUGUCACAUUUAUAAAGUGCUUCAUACAAUAGUUUAACAGCCUCC
rnacentral:misc_RNA from 1 species